GUGUAUUUCUAUGAAUGUUGUUUCUGCAUUAAUAAAUUUUGGUAGAAUGUGUAUGUUCAUGUAGUGUAAUGUAUUGUUCAACUGUUGAGUUGUGAAGUUUAGGAAUGAGUGGACAUUGCAUAGGAUCUGUACCUGUGAAUUUGGUUAAUGUUUCCUGGAGUGUGUCAGUGAGUUUGUUUAUUAGAUCUGUGUCAUUAUUGUUAAUGGACAGUGUGUUGUCACUGAAUGUUAUUUCUGGUAUCUGUUCCACUUCGUGUUCUAUUUGUGUGUUUGAAUCGGUUUCAUGUUGUGAUAUUUGUUGUGCUGCCUG
rnacentral:lncRNA from 1 species